rnacentral:lncRNA from 1 species
AAGUUCCCAGGCUAGGGGUCAAAUCGGAGGUGCAUCUGCCAGCCACAGCCAUAGCAAUGCUGGAUCCAAGCCGCAUCUGCAACCUACACUGCAGCGCAUGGCAAUACAGGGUUCUUAACCCACUGAAUGAGACCAGGGAUCGAACCCACAUCCUCAUGGAUGCUUAUCGGGUUUGUAACUUGCUGAGCCACAGUGGAGUUCCUGAGAAGAAAUAUAUGAUUUAUUGCAAGAAAUGGCUCACACAAUUGUGGAGGCCAGCAAGUCCCAAGAUUUGCAGGGUAAGUUGGCAAGCUAGAGAGCCACCGGUAUAAUUCCAACCCAAAGGCCAUAAGUUUGAGACCCAGAAUAAGUCAGUUCAAGUCCAAAGACAGGAAAAGACCAAUGCCCAGUUCUGAAGACCAUCAAACAGGAAAAAUUCUCUCUUACUUGAGAGAGGGUCAGCCUUUUUGUACUAUUCAGGCCUUCAAGUAGUUGAACCACAAUUCCCACAUUGGGGAGGGCAAUCUGCUUUGCUAAGCCUGAUAAUUUAAAUGUUAAUCUCACCCAAAAACACCCUUGCAGACACACCUACCGUAGUGUUUCACCAAAUACCUGGGUACCCUGUGGCUCGGUGAAGUUGACACAUAAAAUUAACCAUUACACCUGCUCAUCAGUAAGUGUCAUCCCCAAAAAUGGAGGCAGACCAGUCAGAUUAGCAUUCCGUCCUUUUGUGGGGAGGAGCAGGGCAGAGGAACAGACAGCACGUGAUUAUGGUUCCUCUUCCUUACAUCUAUGUAUGACUCUUUCCUCUUUCUAGAUUUCUUUGAGGGCAAAAUGAGUAGCAUUUUCAUUUUGCUAUUUCCAUAGAAACCAGUAUAUCAGCAGCACAGAAGUGGGCUUCCAGGAUGUUUAUGGAAGGAAAGAAGAGAAUCACUGUUCACAACCUAAAAGCCUCAGUCAACAAUGAAUAAGUUACCAGUUAUGUGCCUGCAUCCUGGGAUAUGCAGCGGGUGAUAUUAAAGAGGUAGACGUGGUCCCUGCUAGAAGGGUUGGCACAUACAAAGGAAUUUUAUAAGGGAGCAACGACAAAAAAAAAGUAAAAGUGAGCAAUGACAUAACUUGUGGCACACACUACACUUACCCUCAGCAAAGCUGGGCCAGGUACUUCCCUGUGAGCCGGACUGUCCCUAACGAGACCACUUUUCAAGGUGGAAACUUUUGCCCUUUGGACUUAGACACUUCACCACUCACUGAAUGUGUGACCUUACGCAAGUCGUUCUGCCUCCUUUAGUUUCAGUUGCCCUAUCUGUUAAACAGGAUCGAUCAAUGCCUGUUUUGUGGGCUUGGUGUAAAGAGUAAGGAUGAAAAUGAUUAUAAGGCAUAUAGGACCUAGCACAUAGAGCACAUAAAAAUAGAAGUAGUUAUUUUUAUGCUUGUUAUCAUUAACCUACAAGAGGAGUGCUUUUUACCUUAUCAUUAGUUUACCCUUAAAAGCACAAUGUCAUGAUGUCUCCAUACUUGAAGUCUUUUUCCACUGGUUAUUAACUAACCAAGACAGAAAAAGUAUUAAGGCUUGCAGUGAGCAUGAUGAGGGCCAGAGAAGAAGGAAAUAGGGCCCUUUCUUUGAGAAACUUACCCUAAGCUGAGGGCCAUCCAGAGGGUGUGAGUGUUAAACAGCCAUUAGCCGGGUGCUGUGGAAUUCGGUGCAGUUCCUGCUGAUCUUUGGGGAAACAGCACCUGUUGGCUAGAGUUAUUUGGCAGGUGCCCUGAAAGCCAUCGGGGAUUUGCCUGCUGGAAGACAGACACGGCACUGGCCAGCUGCUGCUGCUCUGCACUGUCCCUUUACAGAAAAUCUACCCAGAGACUGUGAGGAGCUGUGCAGUUCUGCCUUGAUAAGCUUUUCCAUUGGCCAGUUGCCAGCAUGUUCUCUUGCCUUCAUUCUUAACAUGCAUCCAUUUCCUAAAAGCACCGUGAGUUAAUUCUGCUGCAGGUGGUGAUAGCACGCCUUCCCGGGCACCUCAGCGGAGGAAUUUUAUCUUGAUGCAUGGAUUAGCACAUGAUUCUCAUGCCUCUGAGCACAUAAGUGCCAUGAUAAAUCUUUCCUCUGCUGCCUAAUUAUUGAUAUUUAGUAGUAAGUUAGUAUUUUGACUAUCUGAGGAUUCAUGUGUUCAGGUAAGAGGGAAGAAAUUUUAAUUCAUGACAUUGUUGCUCCCUUUCUAUUUCUGUUCUAGAAGCAGUCUAAUUGCUUUAUCUAAACACACACACACAACACACAUUAAUCACUUGGAACAAAUUUUUUAUUGGGACUUCUAAGUUCAAAAAACUACCUUAAAUAUGUCUCUUAUUACAAACACACAUACUAAAUAAAUUGGAGGUAAAAUUUAGCAAGUUAAUUGCUUAUUUUGAUUAUUUUUCUAUACUCUCUCUUUAAGGACAAACAGUGGCAGAUCAUACAGGAAUUUCUUCCCUGAGAAUACCUUGCUGUGUUUAAAUGCAUUUGUACUGGCUGGAAGAGGAACGACCGUGACAGUGCUCUAAUGCAGCUCUAAUGCUCUGAUGCACUACUCUAAUGCAGCAUGCAGAAAGGCAUGAGCCAUUGCAGCGGUAUGUGCAUGAGAGUCAUUAGAUGAGAAACUGACUUUUCCUUUGCUGGCUGUGUGACCUGGGACUUUUAAUUUGGCCUUGCUGAGCUUCAGUUUCUGUGUCUGUAAAGCAGGUUUAAUGGCCACGUGUGUUUCACAGGGCUAAAGUGAAGGUAAAUAUGAUAAUGUAUGUAAAUGCUUAUCAAAGUGCCUGGCACAAAGAAAAGACUCAAUGCACAGGGUAUUAAUGUAAGAUACCACAUACCCAUGCUGGGGUAUGCUUUUCCUAAAUCCUCAUGCCACUGAAAUGUAAGCAAUGUUGAACUUGAGCAAGCAGGAUGCAUUUCUUGGCUCAUAGAGGUAGCUUCCUUUAUGCAUGGUGGCUACUGGCACAGGAGGGGCUAGAAAUACAAAGAAAAGGGAGUAGCUGCCAACAAUGCCUAGGAGUUUUACUCUGAUGGGUUGAAGAGGAGGGCAGUGCCAGCAGAGGAAAAAGAAUGCCCAGUGCUAGGAGAUGAGGAGAGCAGUGGGGAAGGUGCGAGGGGGGCAAACUGUCUGCCCUCAGUACUACACGAUGUCUUGUCCUUCGUGUAAAGACACAGAUGGUGGCCCUCAGCACUGUGUGCACAGGGAACCCCAGAGUUCUGGAUUUCUGAACUGGGGUAUGGGUGGGGGGCAGGUGAGGCACAGGCUCAAUUUGUGCACAUCCCUCUGGGAGAGGGUCUUGGGGUGGGGAGAGGGACUAAAGCAUGGAGCAGGACCCAGAGCAGAGGCCAUUGAUGAAUUCUGAAUGGCAGCAUGAUCUAUCAGUUGUACAUGUUAAAGUCACUCUCUCAUAUAGCAGCGCAGAGGGCUGAUGGGAGAAAAGACCUGGGGGAAGAGAGUCUAGUGAGGCUUCUGUUCAUGUUGAGGUGGGGUGGGCAGGGAUGGGCAGCUGUCGGUCUGAACAGGAGGAGUAAUGGGCAUGGAAAUGGAAGAAUAGAGAUAGGAGUAAGGAUAUAGCGUCAACAGGACUUAGCAAUUUUUUAUUAAAUGUUAUGUGUGGGUGAGGGGGCAGAAGGAAGACGGAGGAAUCCAGGCUGGCUCCCUGGUUUUAGGCUUCAUCAAGAAGCAGUGCGGAUGGCAAUAAGGGGUGGUAGGAGGAGAAGCCUGGGUUCAGCUCUGGACUUGAGCUGUCUGUGAAAACCCAGAUGGAGCUGCUGGGAAGGAAGCUGGAUAAAUGAGGCAAGGGCUUGGGGCAGUAAUCGGGGCUGGAGAGACAGGUUUGGAAGCUUCAGCACAUUGGCAGUGGUUGGAGCUACGGAUGUGGAUGUAAGUGGCUGGGGAAGAUAUUAGUGAGACAAGAAAGCUGAGGGUGGGAGCCUGAACAAUACCUAAUAAAGGAUGGGCAGAGACAGAGAGGAAAAGGGCUGGAUGGGCUGGAGAAAGAGAUCAGCUUAACAAGGGUGUGGAGUGUAGUUGAAGAAAAGAAUGGUUACAAAUGUCAAAUGCUGGUGAAAGGUAAGUAACGUAGGGAAUUAUAAAAUGGUGACUGUCAGUUUACAGUCACCUCCUCCUAGAGACCAUCCACAACCCUUCCCUGUGACAAUAUCUCCUUCCCAUUCUCUUUCGAACACUUAACCCGAUUUCUAAUUGUGUCUCUAUUUCCAAGUCAAUUUGUUAAAAAUCUGUCCCCCCUACCAGACUACAAGCUGAAGCGAGCAGGGCCGUCCAGUCUUGUUCAUGCCAUACCCCCAAUGCUUAGUCUGGCACACAGUAGGUGCUCAAUAAAUCUCUAGUGACUUGGCUGAGAGUAGUUUCAGCGGCAUGGAACCUGGUUCUGGAGAUUGAAGAGUAAACUGGAAGUGAGAAAAUGGAGGAAGCGUAAGAAAACUGCAACUUCUAGAUAUUUGAAUGUGAAGGAAAAAAGAGAGAGGGCAGGGGAGUUCCCGUUGUGGCACAGUGGUUAUCGAAUCCGACUAGGAGCCAUGAGGUUGCGGCUUUGAUCCCUGCCCUUGCUCAGUGGGUUAAAGAUCUGGCGUUGCCAUGAGCUGUGGUGUAAGUCGCAGAUGUGGCUCGGAUCCUGAGUUGCUGUGGCUCUGAGAUAGACCAGCAGCUACAACUCCGAUUCAACCCCUAGCCUGGGAACCUCCAUAUGCCACGGGAGCAGCCCUAGAAAAGACAAAAAGACAAAAAANNNAGAGAGAGAGAGAGAGCAGAAGCUAGAGGGUGAAAGAGGAGCUUUUUAUUUUGUGUUUGUUUUUAGACCAAAAGAGACUUGAAUCUGUUUACAUGAUGAAAGAAUGGAGCUCAUGGAGUAGAAGCAACUAGACACAGAGUGAGAGGAAGGAGGGGAAGCAGAGCAGGUAGACGGAUUGGAUUGGCAGAGGCAGGAGAUGGGAUGGUUCUGCCAGGAGCAGCCGAAAGGAGGGCUCUGUGAAAGGCAGAGGAGAUGGUGUAAAUCUGGGGAAAUGGAGCUAAGAGAGAAAGAAGUCAGAAGAAUUCACAUCCCUAAGAGUUUCCAAUUUCUCUGUAAAGAAAGGGGAAUGGUGGCCUGGAGAAUAUAAUGAAGAUUUGAAAUAUGUGCUUAGGGGAAGGAGGCAGCUGGAAGGUAGGCUUUGUGAGGAUGGGACAUGCUCUGUCUUUUUACACCUGGAUCCUCAGCAUCUAGAACAGUGCUUAGCAUAUGAAUAAUGGAUGGAUGAAUGAAUGAAUGCUCUUUAGGUUAUCAAUUGCUGCAUCCCAACCUCUCUUCACCCUCAAGUGGAAGUAAUAAAACAUUGUGGCUCAAAACAACAUAUUAUUUAUCACAGUUCUGUGAAUUAACCAGGCAGUUCUUCAGACUCACGUGGUGAUAGCUGGGGUGCUAGAAGGUGCUGGCUGAGAAUAGCCUCACAGCUGCCGGCUGGCAGCUCCAACGCGGCUGUUUGCUGGGGUCCUUUGUCCCCUCUGCGUAGACCUCUGCCUGUGUCUGCUUGUCCUCCUUAGAAUGGAAGUUGGCUUCCAAAAGGAGUGUUCCAACUGGCAGAUGCCUUCUAGCAGCCGCCUUGACCGUGAGAACAAAUACCAUGUAGAUGGCAGAGCAGAGACCUGCAAGGAUGAAGCCUCCCAAACCCAAACUGCCUACUUCUGAAUAUCUUUUUUUGUGAAAUAGAUAUAAAUAUCCAUAUUAUUAAACUACUGUUUUGUUUUUCUAUUAUAACACAGGCAAACCUAAUUCUAACUAGAACAACCAAUGAACAAGCAGAACUCGCACCUUAACCAUAGUCAAGAAAAGCAGUGUGGCUGAGUGAUUUCUAUCAAACAGUCCCUUUUUAUUUAUUUAUUUUUAUUUUUUGGCUGCGCCCAGGCCAAGGAUCAAACUUGCAUCAUAGCAGUGACCCAAGCCACUGCAGUGACAACACCAGAUCCUUAACCCUCUAGGCCACCAGGGAUCUCAAAUAGUCCCUUUUUAUUAUGAAUAUUUUCUAACACCUAUUUUACUCCCCGGUAAUGACACAGAGAAUAUUGCCUACUAGCAUUAAUAAUUAAACACACACACAUGCCCUUAACUAUAGAA